UGUUUUCCGCUUUCAAACUUUUGAUUCUACGAGAGCUUCCGGUAUUAGUGAAAGUUGAAGAGUUCGCACGAAAACCCUUUAUUUAUGGCUCCUCUCUGCAUUCAAUUGGUGCCACCCGAUUGUUUAUUUUGUAGCUUUGAUAUAUCUUUACCUGGUUCAUGAGCGUUAUGUUACGAGGCUGCGGAAGAAGUUGCAGUUUGAGGAGAGGAAGCAAGCCAACCAAAGAAGGGUGCUUUCGGAUUCUGAAACAGUCUGGUGGUUGAACCAUGCAGUUGAAAACAUAUGGCCCAUAUGUAUGGAAAAGAUUGCCUCUCAGAAUAUUUUACUCCCUAUCAUUCCGUGGUUCUUAGAGAAAUACAAACCUUGGACUGCUGAAUGACUCAAAGAAGCUGUUGUUCAGAAUCUAUACUUGGGAAGAAAUCCACCUUUGUUUACUAAAAUGAGGGUUCUUCGCUGGAGUGAUGAUGAUCACUAUGGUUUCAUGGCAUUCUAAUUAAAUGCUUAUGUUCAUUUUUGUCCUGCAUGACUUUGGAAAUAAUUUUGUUAAGGUUUUUCUAUUAGUGUCUUGAAGUGAAUUUUCUUUUCCGUUUUGCAGAAGGGAAAUCCCUUGCUUAAACACAUUAGGAAUGUUAGAUGGGCGUUUGCUGAUAUUGUUUGUGACUACUUGCUUGGCCAAAGCUCAUGUGCUCUCUAUCUCAGCACUGCCUGCUUGGUGGGCAUCACAGGGGUUCUUGCUCCACUCCUUGAGGAGACUAUAUUUCGAGGAUUUUUUAUGACUUCCCUGACUAAGUGCUGGUGCACCCUCUGCUGUUCAGAAAGCUGCUGGUCAGGACCUUUAUCGUGGGGGUGGAUCAAUAGCGGUGCCUAAUUCAGCUGGCGGUGCAGAUGCCAUGAUGACGGUUGGUGCAGCUGAGUCAUUCGACGUGAAUGCAAGCAUGGACAAUACAGCAGCUGGUGAACAUGUACGUGAAGGCAACAAAGCAGGUGUUGGAUCAUGCGGUGAGGCCUUAAAUACUCAAGUUGCUGAUGCAGUUGUUGUUGUGCACUCAAAUAAAAUCUUUGAUGGCACCAAAGAAGGUGCUGGUCCGUCUAAAUCAGGCGGUGAUGCCAUAACCAAAAAGGUAGCUGAUGCAGCUGCUGAUCCAACUUCAGAAAAAUCUGCUGCACCUGUUGCGGAUUCAGCACUUGCUACGGCUACUCAUGAUGAAGCAAAUGGAGACAAGUUUACAUCGGUUUUAUGAAUAACUGAUGUAAAUUUGUACCAAAUUUACAUCGGUUAUAUAUAAAACCGAUGUAAAAUUAUGCACAAAUUUACAUCGGUUAUAUAUAGAACCGAUGUAAAAUUAUGCACAAAUUUACAUCGGUUUUAUAUAGAACCGAUGUAAAAUAGUAUACAUAUACUACGUCACUCUAUUCUACAUCGGUUUUAGAACCGAUGUAAAUAAUGUUUAAUAACCGAUGUAAAAUGGUAUAUAUGUAGUAGUGAAUGGAGAAGUUUAUUCAAAAUCA